rnacentral:tRNA from 1 species
GGAUUGUGGCUCAGCGUAGAGCGCUCGCCUAGCAUGAGCGGGACCCGGGUUCGAUUCUCAGCACCA